GAACAUUUUGAUUGAUUAUCUACAUCACUAGACGGGUAUUUCUUAUCUUUGCCAAAUACAUUUAUCUCAUAAGUCAUGGGAAUGUCAGUUUCUUGAGUGAAAAAAUGUUCUUUUUUCUUUACAUACUUCCUCUUUUCAGGAGAUAACUGAAAAAAAAAAAAAUCUUGUUCUCCGAAAUGUCGUAGACUUCCUUUGCUCAGGUUUUUUUCUUGUGAGUAGAUGAUAGUUUAGAAGAGAGAGAAGGAAGAGUGGUCACGGUGGACUUACGCUGCAAGUGCAAGGAUUUGUGUGCAUCCUGUAUGGUGAAGGUGGAUGUUGUAUAUUGACAAACACCUAGAUUAGGUAUUCUUCUCUUAGUUAUCACAAUAUUUUGUUCCAGUUACUUGAUUACUUUUUCUGUAACUGGAAUAGUACUAGUAAUCCCUUAUCUGAAAGGCAAUAACAUGUAGUAAAAGAGUGAUUCUGGGAGUAGAGACAAGAUGGCAGAAGUAGAAGGAUUUAUGCUCACCUCCUUUCAUAAAAACACAAAAAUUACAACUAACUGCUGAACAACCACCAACAAAAUAGACUGGAAACUACCAAAAUAGAUAUCCUACACCAAAAUGGUAGGAGGGGCACUUUCACUAUGUAAGUAAUGUCAUACCUGCCGGGUGGGUGACCUACAGACUGAAAAUAACUGUAUUGCAGAGCCUUUCCCAUAGGAGUGAGAGUUCUGAACCCCACAUCAGGUUCUCCGGCCUUGGGGUCUGGCACUUAGAAGAGGAUCCCCCAGAGAAUUUGGCAUGGAAGGCCAGUGGGGCUUGAGUGCAGGAGUUCCAUAGGACUGGAGGAAACACAGACUCUACUCUUGGAGGGUGAACACAGGGUUUCAUCUGCACUGGGUGCCAGGACAAAAGAGGAACUCCAUAAGAAUCUGGGUUGCAGUCCCUCUACCUGCAAGUCUUAGAGGUACUCCAGGGAAAACAGGAGUUGGCUAUGGCUCACUGUGGAGGCAGGACAUUGGAGGCAGAGGUCCUAGGGAAUAAUCAUCAGUGUGAGCUCUUCUAGAGGCUGCCAUUUUGAAAAAAUCUGGCCCCGCACAUCAGGGCUGAGGAGUUCCAGGCCAAACAACAAACAGGGUGGGAACACAGCCCCACCCUUUGGCAGACAGGCUGCCUAAAGUAAUUACAGGCACACAGCUGCCUCUAUUCACACCCAGAAGCAAAGCCACCAGGGGGACAGCCACUCAGCUCCACUUACCAGUGGGCUGCCAUCAGGAAGCCUGCCACAAGCCCUUGUAUCAAAUUCACACUCAAGGGGGCAGACACCAUAAGCAAGAGAGGCUAAAACCAUGUAGCCUACAAAAAAAAGACAAUACAGAAAGCUAGACAAAAUGGAAAGGCAGAGAUAUAUGAGCCAGAUGAAGGAACAAAACACCAGAACAACUAAGUGAAGUGGAGAUAAGCUACCUACAUAAAAAGACUUUAGAGUAAAGAUAGUAAGGAUGAUCCAUGAUCUCAGAAUAAGACUGAGGCAAGGAUGAAUAAAUUACAAGAAAGGUUUAACAAAGAAAUAGAAGAUUUAAAGAAUAAGCAAGCAGAGAUGAGCAACACAAUAACCAAAAUGAAUAAUACACUAGAAGGCACCUAUAGCAGAAUACAGGAGGCAGAAGAAUGAAUGAAUGAGGUGGAAUACAGACUGGUGGAAAUCACUGAUACAGAACAGAAUAAAGAAAAAAAA
rnacentral:lncRNA from 1 species